rnacentral:sRNA from 1 species
GGUUCGACUCGAGCGCCAGCGAGAGAACGUUGCCACAGGCAACGGCCCGAAGGGCGAGGAGCGAUAGCGACGAGUUAUCCUUCCCCCACCACCA